GGUGGCUCAGUGGUAGAGUGCUUGCCCUGCAUGCAUGAGACCCUGGGUUCGAUUCCUCAGCACCA
rfam:Dipodomys ordii contig_71352, whole genome shotgun sequence.